rnacentral:misc_RNA from 1 species
GAAUGUUCACAAAGUAAGGGUUCUGAAAAAACAAACAUUACAAUUAGCAAGUCAUACAUUAAUAAUUAGGACAAAAGAAGCUAGGUACCGUACAUAUAGUCCAAGCACGUAAAAAUAUGCUACAUUCAUUCUAGAAAUGGUUUACUUCAAGAUAAACCUGUUUAAGUGUUUAUCCUUCAGGCUGAGCUGGUUUACAGUUGGGUCCAAUAAGGCUGUUUGCCUUGGCCCAUGCUCAACAUGUUUGGGCCUAGCUUAAUUGGCUGGGCCUGGCCUAGACUAGUGAAGAUAUGUAAAAUAAAUAUAAAUUUUUAAUUCAUUAUACAGAUCGAUUCAAGUCAGGCCUCAAAUAAAUACAAUUACCCAGCCUGCCUAGUGCCUACCUCAACAGCAGGCCUUAGUUGGACUGGGACUGAGGACAAAACCCAGUAUCUGAGCCAACUUCAUUGUGGGUUGGCUUGAGUCGAUCCUCAGGCUCAAUGAGUGAGUCUACUUCACAAUCUAGCGAAUGAAGGAAUCAUGACAUAGAAUGGGGAAUAAGAAUCCAAAAACACAAGGGAUUACAAGGAGAAAAAUCAAUUAUAUUUAAGCAUUGGUAUUCCGAUUUUUCUUUAUACAGAUUAUCUGCAUAAUUUUCAUGUGUAUAUUCAUGUGUUAAGACUAUCUUCCAACAAAGCAGUUGCUUGUUAAGGAAUUUCCCAAUGUAAAAGGGUUGUUAAGAACUUAUAGGGCUGUUACGAAAGUCAAAUACUCAUCACAAGCCUUGGGUUCAGUUUGAAUUCCAACAUAUGUAAUCAUGCACACCUCUGCCAUACUAGCAAGCCACAACCAGAAUGGUUAUGUUGAAUAUUAGCGUAAGAAGUAUUGUUUCUGAAAGCACAGCCCCCAAAAAAGCCAUAUAUGCCUUGUCAAGCCUAAAUAAUAUCAUCCAAGUGAGUAGAUGCAAAGAUCCUCACCCACCUGGAAAAAGCUCACCAACUCAAAACAGGUUACCACAAUCCCAUAAAGCUAGUUAAAUCUCUCAGCCCAUAGGAGACUAGAAAAUGCCUAAGCCCUUAUUAGAGCAAAAGGGACAAGAAAUCUCAGGCUCUAUAAAAUGUCAAACAGGCAUGCCCAAACUCAAGAUUCUGGUUAAAAAACUCGAGAUUCAGCCCAAAAAGGCUAUGCAGGUCCCAAUAGAAAGGGGCUAGAUGAUUACAAGCGGUAGGAGAAUCCACCCAUGAGAGUUGUGUGCACCCAUCCAUCCUCAAAAGACAAUUGGAAAAUAGAUGUUGCACCAAGUUGCGUACCAGGGAAGUCACAGGAAAAUAGUGUACCUAACGGUGAAAUAACCCUUGACACAACAAAAUUAUUUCUUCUCUAGAGAAGACAAUCAUUUACUAGAAAAAGCCUCCCAAUUUCCUACAGCUUCUAUCCUGGAAACUAAAGGACAAUUGUGAUUAUGUCUAAACUAUUUAACAUAGGUAAACAAUUAAUUAAAAUCAGCAAAUAAGCAAUGUCCUAAAACUUAUAACGAAGUACCUAGAGAAGUUAGUGAUAUCUUGAUACCUCCUGUUCUAAGGGCUUGAUCAGCAGCGAGGUGAGAGUGCUUUGUCAAAAGCAGAGAUCAAAAAAUUGCUUUCUAAAGUUGACCAAUCAAUAAACAUUGACUUUUAUGUGCUCUCACAGCACACUGAAGACUUCUACUUUCUAUUACCAGGCACUCUCCGCUAAUUAUGAUGGCUACAGCUCUAAUUCCUCAAAAUCAAGCUUUGAGACAAAUCCCAGCAAAUGCAAGGUCACUCUAUUUUUAUUCCAAAUCUCGCCCUCCCUAGGGUUGCCUUUGAUGAAAGCAAAUAAAAGAAAGAAUAAGGUAAAAAGUGCGAAUCAAAUGAACUAAAUGGAUAUAAUUAUAACCAACAUGGGAUACACAGUUCAAUUGAAUGAAGAGAGCACGUUACUGUCCAACCUAGGCCAAAUUCCUACUAUUGCAAACUAGGUCUUCAAUAAACAUGCUGAGCAUAAAAACUUUCAAUUCAGAGAAAACACCAUCAUCAUUAAAAAUAAUCAAGACAAACUACUCCUAUUCGAUAAACAGGAUGCCUAAGCCAAUAAAAAAUGCAUCAACAUUUGUCAACAUUUACUUCUAAUCACCAAGCAAAGUAAUGGAGCCACCAUAUUCAAUCCAUUCAAUUCGCAUCAAUGAAUAAGCGAACCGAAAAACCUAACAUCGUCUCCUGAAAGCAACAAAAACACUUAAAUUUCCCCAACGAAGCAAGCAUGGUGCCAAGCCCUAAACCCUCAAAAUCUGCAGUGCAAAAGAAAUGGAACCAAAUUACCUUUCUCAAAGCGGUAGCGAGC